GCGCUUGACAGUGGCGUCCUUUCCCAGGCGACCUGGAGCCCGGAAGCGCGCUGCCGUGAGUGUGGGCUUGCAGACUUUGGUGCCGCUGGGAACCUAGACUUACUGAAGUUUGUCCGCUCUGUUUUUGUGUGACUUAAGAAUAAGUCGCUCUUCGUUUACCCGCUCUCAGACCAUUUCCUUUUGCAAGGGGGAAAAAAUAUCCACCGUUUGACUCAGUUUUCAGCUGAGCAGCCUCCUUUCCCAGGCUCUGGCAGUGGUCUCUAAGACUAGGAAAAACUGGUUAGAAGUUUUAACAUACACCUCUGGCAGCUAAGAAGUUCCAUGUAUUGAAACUUCAAGCAAAAAACAGUUCCUUGGUUUUUGCUUGGUCUUGGUUUUGCUUAAGCUGCCUUCCCUUCCACCGCCUUAACUAGAUGGAUCAGUGUUUGACCAAUGGUAUAUGAAGAUAAGUAAGAAGCCAAAAUGAUAUACAAUUUAAUGUUCAAAAUUAUGAUACCCACGUAUGAGAUAAUGUGAAAAGAUAAACUCUUGCAAGUUUUCUGCCAGUCCAGCAAUUUGUAUCAAGACUACUACAAAUUUUCACAUCCUUUAGCCCAGCAAUUACUCUUCUUGGAAUUUAUCCUAAAUCUAAUGAAAACCCUGAAAAGG